GAUGUAGGAAGUGACUGUAGGUUUAGAUGAAUGGAAAAUGAACUUGCCAGUUCACAGCUAUGUCCUUCCCAAUUUAGGAGGUUAAGGGCAGGAAAAACAUGAGAAACUCUUUUGAGAAGCUGCACAAGCUGACAUGGAGGAUCAAGGAUUUCAAAAGCUUUGAAUAUAAAGAGCCCUAUGCCUUCACAAGAACAAGUUCCCACACCAGGGUCAAGAAGGAAACCGUAAGUCAAGACAAAAGUGCCCAGUGAAGGCAGAAGAUGAGGGGUCUCAGGUUGCAUCUUCGGAGGCACGAGGAUUCAAAGGUGAACAAAGCACACAGUACAUCAUUUGAUGUGAUGGAGUCUCGCUCUGUUGCCUAGGCUGGAGUAUACUGGCAUGAUCUCGCCUCACUGCAAGCUCUGCCUCCCAGGUUCACGUCAUUCUCCUGCCUCAGCCUCCCGAGUAGCUGGGACUACAGGAGCGUGUCACCACGCCCGGCUAAUUUUUUUUUGUAGUUUUAGUGGAGACUGGGUUUCACCAUGUUAACCAGGAAGAUUUUUGCAUGCUGAAUAUUUAUAAACUUUAUUGUAUGCAGUUUUCUUGCCAAUCCUCUAUUCCUCCCUACACAAAUCAAAAAUGUCCAAUAUAUUUUACAUAAAAGAAAUCUAAAAUCAAAACUGAGAGAUAAAGAUCUAGUGAAGAAAUCUGUCACCUUAAAAAUAAACAUGAUUAUUGGUGGCAAUAGUAAUUCAGAAUCACUUGCAAAGUUAAAAUUCGGAGCUAAACCGUGUACAUUUUGUAAGCAAAUAUAACAGUAAACUCUUUAAUUUGAACAUUGAACUAGAAAUCUAUCUCCCAAAAAAUUACAAUUUUGUGAAACAGGAACCAAAACUAUAUACUAAGAUAACAGUAAUUCAUCAGGUACUUUUUUGGAUAUUAUUUACUAUACACAUUUUUGUUCUACCUUACAAAAGUUAAUAAUCUUUCAUUAACAUUAAAUAGAAUUAAUCAAUUCAACAA
ensembl:lncRNA LINC01684 long intergenic non-protein coding RNA 1684